rnacentral:rRNA from 1 species
AGAGGGUGAAACUCCCGUCCGCCUGGUAGAAUGAGUCUUUGUCAACGAGUCGAGUUGUUUGGGAUUGCAGCUCUAAUUUGGUGGUAAAUUCCAUCUAAAGCUAAAUAUUGGUGGGAGACCGAUAGCGUACAAGUACCGUGAGGGAAAGAUGCAAAGGAACUUUGAAAAGAGAGUUAAAGAGUACCUGAAAUUGCUGAAACGGAAGCGAAGGGAAACCAGUGUUUGUCGGUUCAUAACUUCCUUGGCCACUUGUGGUUUGGGCGCUGUGAGCUUGCGUGGGUUUGGGUUAGUUGAUCCCUUUGGAAGAGCGCAGUCAGAGUUGAU